rnacentral:rRNA from 1 species
UACGUAGGAGGCAAGCGUUGUCCGGAAUUACUGGGCGUAAAGCGCGUGUAGGUGGUGGGACAAGUCUGCUGUGAAAGCGCCUGGCUUAACCGGGCGAGGUCGGCGGAAACUGUCCGACUCGAGGACGGUAGAGGGGGGUGGAAUUCCCGGUGUAGUGGUGAAAUGCGUAGAGAUCGGGAGGAACACCUGUGGCGAAGGCGGCCCCCUGGGCCGGCCCUGACGCUGAGGCGCGAAAGCUAGGGGAGCAAACAGG